rnacentral:rRNA from 1 species
ACUCUAAGCGGUGGAUCACUCGGCUCAUGGGUCGAUGAAGAACGCAGCAAACUGUGCGUCAUCGUGUGAACUGCAGGACACAUGAACAUCGACAUUUUGAACGCAUAUCGCAGUCCAUGCUGUUAUGUACUUUAAUUAAUUUUAUAGUGCUGCUUGGACUACAUAUGGUUGAGGGUUGUAAGACUAUGCUAAUUAAGUUGCUUAUAAAUUUUUAUAAGCAUAUGGUAUAUUAUUGGAUAAAUAUAAUAAUUUUUAUUCAUAAUAUUAAAAAAUAAAUGAAAAACAUUAUCUCACAUUUGAAUGUGAAAAACGAAGAGAAAUAUUUUCUUUUUCAAUCAAAUAAUACUGAGAAAUGUCUAGCAUAAAAAAUUGAAAUAUUUUUCAUCUAGAAUUGUCUCUUAUUAAUGAUUCGGAAAUAGAAAAAUCUUGGUUAUGUUAUUAUUCUUCGUUGGUUCGUUAAAAAUGGAUAAAUAAAAACUUUGCAUACAAGAAUUAAUAAAAAUGUUAUAACGAAUUUAAUUAAAUGUUUUAUCAUUAUAUAUAAAGAAUUUAUGGCAAGAUAAAGUUAUAUACAACCUCAACUCAUAUGGGACUACCCCCUGAAUUUAAGCAUAUUAAUUAGGGGAGGAAAAGAAACUAACAAGGAUUUUCUUAGUAGCGGCGAGCGAAAAGAAAACAGUUCAGCACUAAGUCACUUUGUCUAUAUGGCAAAUGUGAGAUGCAGUGUAUGGAGCGUCAAUAUUCUAGUAUGAGAAAUUAACGAUUUAAGUCCUUCUUAAAUGAGGCCAUUUACCCAUAGAGGGUGCCAGGCCCGUAUAACGUUAAUGAUUACUAGAUGAUGUUUCCAAAGAGUCGUGUUGCUUGAUAGUGCAGCACUAAGUGGGUGGUAAACUCCAUCUAAAACUAAAUAUAACCAUGAGACCGAUAGUAAACAAGUACCGUGAGGGAAAGUUGAAAAGAACUCUGAAUAGAGAGUUAAACAGUACGUGAAACUGCUUAGAGGUUAAGCCCGAUGAACCUGAAUAUCCGUUAUGGAAAAUUCAUCAUUAAAAUUGUAAUAUUUAAAUAAUAUUAUGAGAAUAGUGUGCAUUUUUUCCAUAUAAGGACAUUGUAAUCUAUUAGCAUAUACCAAAUUUAUCAUAAAAUAUAACUUAUAGUUUAUUCCAAUUAAAUUGCUUGCAUUUUAACACAGAAUAAAUGUUAUUAAUUUGAUAAAGUGCUGAUAGAUUUAUAUGAUUACAGUGCGUUAAUUUUUCGGAAUUAUAUAAUGGCAUAAUUAUCAUUGAUUUUUGUGUUUAUUAUAUGCACUUGUAUGAUUAACAAUGCGAAAGAUUCAGGAUACCUUCGGGACCCGUCUUGAAACACGGACCAAGGAGUCUAACAUAUGUGCAAGUUAUUGGGAUAUAAACCUAAUAGCGUAAUUAACUUGACUAAUAAUGGGAUUAGUUUUUUAGCUAUUUAUAGCUAAUUAACACAAUCCCGGGGCGUUCUAUAUAGUUAUGUAUAAUGUAUAUUUAUAUUAUUUAUGCCUCUAACUGGAACGUACCUUGAGCAUAUAUGCUGUGACCCGAAAGAUGGUGAACUAUACUUGAUCAGGUUGAAGUCAGGGGAAACCCUGAUGGAAGACCGAAACAGUUCUGACGUGCAAAUCGAUUGUCAGAAUUGAGUAUAGGGGCGAAAGACCAAUCGAACCAUCUAGUAGCUGGUUCCUUCCGAAGUUUCCCUCAGGAUAGCUGGUGCAUUUUAAUAUUAUAUAAAAUAAUCUUAUCUGGUAAAGCGAAUGAUUAGAGGCCUUAGGGUCGAAACGAUCUUAACCUAUUCUCAAACUUUAAAUGGGUAAGAACCUUAACUUUCUUGAUAUGAAGUUCAAGGUUAUGAUAUAAUGUGCCCAGUGGGCCACUUUUGGUAAGCAGAACUGGCGCUGUGGGAUGAACCAAACGUAAUGUUACGGUGCCCAAAUUAACAACUCAUGCAGAUACCAUGAAAGGCGUUGGUUGCUUAAAACAGCAGGACGGUGAUCAUGGAAGUCGAAAUCCGCUAAGGAGUGUGUAACAACUCACCUGCCGAAGCAACUAGCCCUUAAAAUGGAUGGCGCUUAAGUUGUAUACCUAUACAUUACCGCUAAAGUAGAUGAUUUAUAUUACUUGUGAUAUAAAUUUUGAAACUUUAGUGAGUAGGAAGGUACAAUGGUAUGCGUAGAAGUGUUUGGCGUAAGCCUGCAUGGAGCUGCCAUUGGUACAGAUCUUGGUGGUAGUAGCAAAUAAUCGAAUGAGACCUUGGAGGACUGAAGUGGAGAAGGGUUUCGUGUGAACAGUGGUUGAUCACGAGUUAGUCGGUCCUAAGUUCAAGGCGAAAGCCGAAAAUUUUCAAGUAAAACAAAAAUGCCUAACUAUAUAAACAAAGCGAAUUAUAAUACACUUGAAUAAUUUUGAACGAAAGGGAAUACGGUUCCAAUUCCGUAACCUGUUGAGUAUCCGUUUGUUAUUAAAUAUGGGCCUCGUGCUCAUCCUGGCAACAGGAACGACCAUAAAGAAGCCGUCGAGAGAUAUCGGAAGAGUUUUCUUUUCUGUUUUAUAGCCGUACUACCAUGGAAGUCUUUCGCAGAGAGAUAUGGUAGAUGGGCUAGAAGAGCAUGACAUAUACUGUUGUGUCGAUAUUUUCUCCUCGGACCUUGAAAAUUUAUGGUGGGGACACGCAAACUUCUCAACAGGCCGUACCAAUAUCCGCAGCUGGUCUCCAAGGUGAAGAGUCUCUAGUCGAUAGAAUAAUGUAGGUAAGGGAAGUCGGCAAAUUAGAUCCGUAACUUCGGGAUAAGGAUUGGCUCUGAAGAUUGAGAUAGUCGGGCUUGAUUGGGAAACAAUAACAUGGUUUAUGUGCUCGUUCUGGGUAAAUAGAGUUUCUAGCAUUUAUGUUAGUUACUUGUUCCCCGGAUAGUUUAGUUACGUAGCCAAUUGUGGAACUUUCUUGCUAAAAUUUUUAAGAAUACUAUUUGGGUUAAACCAAUUAGUUCUUAUUAAUUAUAACGAUUAUCAAUUAACAAUCAAUUCAGAACUGGCACGGACUUGGGGAAUCCGACUGUCUAAUUAAAACAAAGCAUUGUGAUGGCCCUAGCGGGUGUUGACACAAUGUGAUUUCUGCCCAGUGCUCUGAAUGUCAAAGUGAAGAAAUUCAAGUAAGCGCGGGUCAACGGCGGGAGUAACUAUGACUCUCUUAAGGUAGCCAAAUGCCUCGGUCAUCUAAUUAGUGACGCGCAUGAAUGGGAUUAACGAGAUUCCUACUGUC